UACGUAGGGUGCAAGCGUUGUCCGGAAUUAUUGGGCGUAAAGAGCUCGUAGGCGGUUUGUCGCGUCUGCUGUGAAAACUCGGGGCUUAACUCCGGGCCUGCAGUGGGUACGGGCAGACUAGAGUGCGGUAGGGGAGACUGGAAUUCCUGGUGUAGCGGUGAAAUGCGUAGAUAUUGGGAGGAACACCAGUGGCGAAGGCGGCUCACUGGACCGGAACUGACGCUGAGGCGCGAAAGCGUGGGGAGCAAACAGG
rnacentral:rRNA from 1 species